UACGUAGGGUGCAAGCGUUGUCCGGAAUUAUUGGGCGUAAAGAGCUCGUAGGCGGUCUGUCGCGUCUGCUGUGAAAACUCGGGGCUUAACCCCGGGCCUGCAGUGGGUACGGGCAGACUAGAGUGCGGUAGGGGAGAACGGAAUUCCCGGUGUAGCGGUGAAAUGCGCAGAUAUCGGGAGGAACACCGGUGGCGAAGGCGGUUCUCUGGGCCUGUACUGACGCUGAGGAGCGAAAGCGUGGGGAGCGAACAGG
rnacentral:rRNA from 1 species